rnacentral:miRNA from 1 species
AGCAGUGGCCAAAGUACAAACAUUUGCCCUGGUUCUUUGAGUCUCAGGAAGUUGCACAGGAACCAGGGCAAAUGUUUGUACUCCGGCCGCUGCUGA